AAAAGCUCAAUAACCAUUCCAAUGUGGUCACCACGUGACCAGUCAGAACCAAUCAGAGCCUGUAGAGGCUACAGACAAGUAUUGUUAAUCGUAGAUCUUCUACACGUGUACCAUCAGACGUUAAGCAAGGAAAUAUUCGACCACCACAUGACCAAUCAGGCUACAGACACUUAUUCCUAAUCAUAGAUCUUCCACAAUAAGACAUCACGUGCACUACAGUCCAUUCGUUUCAAGCUCCACUUUUUAUAAUAAAAUAUGUGGUGUCAAGCACUUUUCUAUCUGACGGGCAUGAAAUGUUCUAACAGCGUCAAAGACUGAUCAUCUAACAAGAAAAAAAAUUUUUUUAAUACUUUAAAAUAAAAAAAAAAGCUUAUCUAAGAACUGCGACAUUACUGCCAGUAGCGGCCUUAGGUGUGGCAAGUAGGGCAACCC